AAAAAAAAAGAGAAGAAAAGGUAGGUCUCAAGUAAACAGCUGAAAUUCUCAUCUUGAGAAAUUAGAGAAAGAAAAUGAAACUAAACCCAAGGCAAGGUACAGGAAGGAAAAAAAAGAGAUAAAAAAAGCAAAAUAAUAAAAUUGACAAAAGAAAAAUGAAGUCAGUGACACCAAAACUUAGGUCUUUGUAAAAAAAAAAUAAAUAAAUAAAUAAAAAGAAAAGAAAAAAAGAAAACUGACAAAUCUCUACUAAUACUGGACAAGAAAAAAGGAGAAAAGAUACAAAUUACCAACAUUUGGAAAGAAAGAGGGGCUAUCACUACAGACCCCACUGACAUGAAAAGGAUAAUAAAAUAUUAAAAAAAACUCUCUACCAACAAACAACUGGAAUUCAAAAUUAAAAAUGCAAUACUACUAACAAUAGCAUCAGAAGAAUAAAAUACUUAGGUAUAAAUUUAAAAAUGUGCAGGCUCUGCCUGAGGAAAAUGACAAAAUACUGGUUAAGUCAGCCACGGGAAAAUAAUGAAGAGAGAUACUGAGUUCCUAGAUUAGAAGUCUCAGUAUUCUUAGGAGAGCAUUUCUUUCCAAUUUGAUCUAUAGUUGUGAUACAAUUCCAUUAAAAAUCUCACAAGCAUUUUGCAGAUAGGACAACCUGAUUCUAAAAUUUCCAUGGGAAAGAAGAGAAACUUGAAGAGCCAAAAUAAUUUUGAAAAAGGAGAAAAGCUGAAGAACUUACAUUAAAGACAGUGAGGAACUGGCAAAAAGCUAGACAUCAGUAGAUGAGAAAAGUGGGUCAAUGGAUAAAAACCACACAAACAUAAUUAGCUAAAUUUUGACAAAGGCAAUUCUAUGGUGAAAGCAUAGUCUUUACAUAAAUGGAACUAAAAUAAUUGGACACCCACCUACAAGAAAAAAAAAAAAAGACACAUACCUUAUACCUCAUACAAAUAAAACUAUAAAACUUCUUAAAGAACCAUGGAAAAAUCUGUGUGACCUUGGAUCAGACAGAGACGUCUCACAUAUGACACCAAAAGCACAAUCAAUAAAAGCAACAACUGGUAAGCUGGGCCUCAUUAAUAUCAAGAAGACUUCUGCUCUGAGAAAGACACCGUAAGAAGGAAGAACAAGACAAGGCACAGACUGGGGGAAAACAUCUGCAAAUCACCUUUGUGACAAAGAGAUUAUAUGCAGACUGAAAGCAGCUCUUUUUGCCCCCUUCCUGUUCGCCCAUUUCUGUUCCCUUCCAAUCUUCAAAGAACCUAAUUACAGGAAUGAGAUCGCUGGGUAAUUUAACCCAACUCCUGAUUUAGGCUCUCCUGAAUGCACACCAUGCCUCGCCUAACCUAUUGAUGCUCCUCCUAGAUGAAAAGAAAUAAUGAGGAACUAAGCAGUUAACAAAACAAUCAGCUCUCUGCCCUCAACAGCCUCCUUAAGCAAUCCUGCAGGCAGAUCAAGCGGGCAAGACAGCAUCUAAAGAGAGAGGCAGCCAGACAGCAGACGACGGAGCAUGAUGCAGAACCCAACCUCCUGCUCAGUGAUUCUCUGAGAUUCCGCCCCCCUUUGCCCUUUAAAAACUGUAAUGCUGAGCAGAAUCUUUGGAGUUGGUGUCUGGACGUGCAUUCACCUUCUCCCCACAUCAUCACCUUUUCUGACUAAAGCAUCUUUCCUUCCUACUGACACUCGCCUCUGGAAUUAUUGGCUUUUAAGCGACAGGUGGCCGAACCUGAGUUCGGUAAUAAGAUCCUGUUUCAAGAACACUUAAAUUCAACAUUGGAAAAGCAAACAACCCACUUUAAAAAAUGGGCAAAAUUUCUGAAGAUACUUCACCAACGAAGACAUCUGGAAAAGCUGCCCAGUGCCAUCAAUCAUUAGGGAAACACAAAUUAAGACCACAGGAAAUCCCACUCUACAGCUCUUAGGAUGUAGCUUUUUAAAAUGUGCUGGUAAGGUUGCAGAAAAACUGGACUCUCAUUCAGGGUGGGCAGGAAUGUAAGUGUAAGUGGCCCAGAUACUUUGAAAAACAGUUUCACAAUUGCUGACAAAGCUAAGUGUAUACCAAGUUCAUGACCCAGAGACUUCACUCCUAGUACCAAACCCUGGAGAAAUGGAAAUGUCAUUUACAGAAAAGCCUGUACAUGCAUGUUUUACAGGGACUUUCUUCAUGUUUGCCAAAGACUGGAAGGAACCCAUAUAUCUUUCAAGUGCUCAGUGGAUAAGAAGCUAUGGCACAUCAACACAAUGGAAUACGAUUCAGCAACAAAAAAGGAAGAACUAUGGAUUUACAUAACAGAAAUAAAUCUUAUGUGUAUUUUGCUAAGUGAGGGAGUCAGACUCCCAAAGCUACUUGUUCUGAUUCCUUGCAUAUGACACUGGGAAAUAGAAACACAGGGAGGAAAAGAGAGCAGUGGUUGCUAGGGGUUGUCUCUAAAGAAGUGGCACAGGGGAAUUUGGGAGCGAUGGAGCUGUUCUCUAUGGAACUGUGGGUGUGGACAUACAAUUCUACGAAUAUGUCAAACCCCACAGAACUGUACACCAUAAAGGGAAUUUUAUGGUGUGUAAAUAAAAACUUAGUUAACCAGGCU
ensembl:lncRNA